GAUGAACGCUGGCGGCGUGCCUAAUACAUGCAAGUCGAGCGAACAGACGAGGAGCUUGCUCCUCUGACGUUAGCGGCGGACGGGUGAGUAACACGUGGAUAACCUACCUAUAAGACUGGGAUAACUUCGGGACACCGGAGCUAAUACCGGAUAAUCUCUUGAACCGCAUGGUUCAAUAGUGAAAGACGGUUUUGCUGUCACUUAUAGAUGGAUCCGCGCCGCAUUAGCUAGUUGGUAAGGUAACGGCUUACCAAGGCAACGAUGCGUAGCCGACCUGAGAGGGUGAUCGGCCACACUGGAGCGGAGACACGGACAAGACUCCUACGGUAGGCAGCAGUAGGGAAUCUUCCGCAAUAGGCGAAAGCCUGACGGAGCAACGGCGCGUGAGUGAUGAAGGUGUUCGGAUCGUAAAACCCUGUUAUUAGGUAAGAACAAAUGUGUAAGGAACUAUGCACGGCUUGACGGUACCUAAUCAGAAAGCCACGGCUAACUACGUG
rnacentral:rRNA from 1 species